rnacentral:lncRNA from 1 species
UGGUACCCGAGGCCGGGCCGGAGCCGCAGGCCAGCCGCGAUUCCUUCGGGCGAUGCUGGGGGCUUUCCGGUCGGGGCCGCAGCCGCUUCCGGAGCCGCGGGCGAGGUGCAAGCGGUCUUCUCUGUCUUCUUUAUGGCCAGUAAAAUUCUCCAGAAGAGAUUUAUGGCAGCCUCACUCCCAGUAGUUUCUGCAUUUAGUGAGAUAAGCCACAGCAAUUGUCUGCUAUUUUAAAAGCACUGUGAUGCUUAAAUAUUCCAGCUGCUACAUCGGACAGGUGUCUGAUGAUCCUGAGAACAGUCAUCAAAAAAUAGAACUUGAGCCUGGAAUACAUUCUCUGGCAUAGCCAUAGUCAAUCACCAGUAUAAUUAAUGUAAAUGGACACUGGAUAGCUUUUUUGUGAAUUCUGAUGCAGCACAAAGAGACUUUAAUUGUUUCCAAAAAGAAAAUGUCUGAGAUUAAAAUCUAGAGUUUUAUGACUUAGAGGAAAUUUUAUAGCUUUACUCCAAAAAGGGUAAGGCACAAAAUAUUCUGUGCCAAAGGAUGCAUAUUUGGUAUUUUUCCUAUGAAUCCCUUAGUGUAAGUGGCAUGAUGAGAUUUUCUUGGUUUCAACACAAAUGAUGUGUUGAGGUAGUGUUGAGGCUGAGAGGCGGGUGGGAUGGGUCUUGGAGAAGGAAAAGAUUUGUUUUGCAAGGUUUGUGGAGAGCUGAUGUGGUAGUGAGGCUAAGACAAGGGGUAUUUACUUGCUACUUACAUUGAGUCCACUAACAUCUGCAGCACUUUGCUUGCAUUAUCCACGCAAUUAUCAUGGGAAACCUAUAAAAUAAGUAUUCCUCUCCUCAUUUUACAAAUAGGGAAGCAGAUAAGAUUUAGAAAAUUUCCCAAGCUCACACAAUUAUUAAAUGACAGAACUAGGACUCAAACCCAGGUUUGAUUAAUUUUAGAGACAUGUUUUUAACCACUUGGACACUGCCAACCAUGGAAUUGUUGGUAUGAAAAAAACGUACUCUUGAGUUAUAUUAUCCAUGGUCUUAAUAUCAGAGAAGUGCAGUUGAGUCGCUAUUAAAGAAUAUGGUAAAAUUAUAAAAUGGAUACUACACAAAGGUAUAAAAAUAUUAUAAAUACUUAUGUUUGGGGUAAAAGGAUCAAAGUAGCCAUGCUCAGUGGAAGGGUAAGGAACUCUUAGCAGAGAUUGAUUAAUUGGGAGAUAAUUGAUUAAUUGGGAGUUGAUUAAUUGGGAUUUAUUAAUUUGGGAGUAGGUAGGAAGACAGGAAGUUGUAUAAAAUAAGGGAGAGAUAACUUAGUACCUGGAAAAAAAGAAAUGGAAAUAGGUAGAAGCUAAGAGUUCAAUUAAAAAAAGGAAUAAAAGAUAUUGGAAGGGAACAAUGAAUGUAGCAUGGAAGAUCCAAGAUGAUGGGAGUUCAGGGGCUAAUUACAGCUAUGGGAAAACAGUAAUGUAUAAGCUGGAAGCCAGAGAUAAGAGCCAUGUAAAUGAAGAAGUUGGGCCCCAAUAGGAAAGAAUUAUAAGGACUAGAAGGAGCAGGAGCCAUGUGGAAAAAUAUCAUGUAGUACUUUUAAGCUUGAUCUGUCAUCUGUAGCAAAACCAGCAUGCUUGAGUACUGAAUUGACCUGACUGAACUAUGUUGAAAUGUACUGUGGUUUUAUAUCCAUAUGCACUUGGUCUGUGGAGUUGUGGGAAAAGCAUCAGUGAGUAGGAAGCCCAAGGAUUUGGGUCAAGUAUUAAAUAUGCUAUUUACUGUCUAGCUAUGUGACCUUAUAUAAGUCACUUGUGGUCUCUGAGCCUUCAUGUAUUCAUCCAUAAGAUGAGUUGUUGUUUAUAUUAAAUGGGAUGUGGUAUGUUAAAGAGCUGAAUGCAUAGUGAUACAGAAUUACUUUCUGUAAUGCUAUUUUUUAAAUAUUUUAAAUGAAAAAUUAAUGAACUUAUAAAUUAAAAGAUUCAAAAGGGAUAAAAAGGUAUACAAUGAAAAGCAAUUCUCCUUCCCACCAGUAACUCUGUCCUACUCCUUAGGACAUUCACCAUAAACAGAUAUCCUGAAUUCUUCUAGAAAUAUUAUAUAUAAAAUCUCCUUAUUUUUCUUUUUUACUAUUUUAAAGGGGAUAAACUAAACUUUGCCUUUUUUCAUAUAAUAAUAUAUUCUGGAGAUCAUUUUCUAAAAGCACAGGUAAACAUACCUCAUUAUUAUAAAGGUUUGAAAAUAUCAAUUUAUUUGACCUGUCCCCUCUCGAUAGAUAAUUAGAUUGUAUCCAUCCCUUUGGUUAUUACCAACAGACACUAAUCACUUACCAUGUACAUAUAGCCUGUUUUUUAGCAUUGUUAGACAAAGUAGGCAUAUUCCUUUCCAUCCAAGAACUCAUAACCUAGUAAUUGUAGUUGGCUGAUAGCUCAUUGCCCGUACACAAGGACCUAACACAACCUCUUGAAUAAACAUCCCCCUUAUUCAGAAAUGCCUUUUCCUAUUUCCAUAUUGCAACUUUGCUUACAAAUUUCCAAUCUGUCUUUCUGUUUACAGAAGAUAUACAAAAUUCCUUUUGUAUGAUCUCUUUAUAUCUCUUGAUUUUCUUUUGUGUUUGCUACCAAAGGGCCUGCACAUAGUGAGAAGAUUGUGCAUGAUCUGUGGGCUCUACCACACCUGGAAUUAGGGAUCACCAAUAUGAGAAAAAAAAUUGGAGGUACAAAUAGCAUUAUCAUAUGUAAUUGGCAUAUAAAUUACAGAUGUAUCUAUGACUAAAAACCCUGUGGAUAUAAACCAAAUGCAGAUAAAUAUAAUAAAAUAUAUAAAAAUAUAAUCAAAUAAUGAUAGUGCUAUUCAAAUACUUCAAAUUUGCACAGUGAUUUAUUUCUUAAAAGAUGUUAACACAUGUGAGCCAAUACACUCAGGUCACUGGAUAAAUAAACAGAUUCUUGCAAGUGCUUUGGAAAUGAAACUUUUUUUAUCAUUUUAAUUUU